rnacentral:RNase_P_RNA from 1 species
CCAGACGGCCGGACGGCUGCUGCCGGGGGCAACCCUGGUGGAGGAAAGUCCGGGCUCCACGGGAAUACGGUGCCGGCUAACCGCCGGCGGGGGCGACCCUAGGGAAAGUGCCACAGAAAACAAACCGCCCGCACGCGGCCCGUCCUCGGACGGAUCACCUGCGGGCAAGGGUGAAACGGUGCGGCAAGAGCGCACCGCGCCCCUGGCAACAGGGGCGGCAGGGCAAACCCCACCGGGAGCAAGACCGAAUAGGGGCGGCCGGCGGGCCGGCAUUGGUCUUCGGGCCGCGCCGGUGACGCAGAGGCGUUUCCGCCUCGUCGCCCGGGUUGGUCGCGUGAGGCGCGCAGCAAUGCGCGUCCCAGAGGAAUGGCCGUCCCGCUUCCCGGAGUGACCCGGGGGGCGGACAGAACCCGGCUUACAGGCCGUCUGGCGUU